rnacentral:misc_RNA from 1 species
AGAGUUUAGAGCACAAUGUUCAAAGCUACCUAAGGUGAAAAGCUAAUCGAGAUACAAAAAGGGACCUAAAAAUACUUACAGAUAACAACUAAUUAUUUACACACACACUCACCUAACUCCACAGGCAAAAUUAUACAGGCUUGGGUUUGAUAGAUUGAUGUCAUCAUUCUUGAAAAAUAUUUCAAGUGUCACUCCAGUUAUCUUCUCCAUCAUCACUUCCAACUGCCUGACGGAUUGCAUUGGCUUUCUCCAAUAUUGCAUUGACCUUGACGCUUGCUGGAGGCACUGUAUUUCCAGUUGGUUUUGCUGGAGCAGUUCGUCUAAGAUUGAACGAUUUUGCUCUAAUCUGGUGUAGGAAGUCUUCCUUUUCAUUGAUUCCUCUGCCAUUUCCAGCAUGAUCAGCAAAUUGCUGCCCAGUUGUGUCUAUUGACUGUGGCUGCUUGCUUUUCAAUGUAAAUGCAGAUUCAAUAACUUGGUUUUGCUUGAAUGGAGGAGGCUUAGGUUGAUG